rnacentral:lncRNA from 1 species
UCAUUAUUCAACAAAAUUUACGACUCUAAUUAAAAUUCUGUGGGAGCACAAUCACAUAACAAGCCUAAAACUAGUUUUGCCUUAGUUGUAACACAGAAGAUGACAAAUGAUAAUGGACAGGUGUCCAAAGGGUAAGAUACUUGAGUUUCUGCUUGGAUGGGUAGGGAAUUUUGAAAAGAAGUAAUGUACCAUUACUUCGUCUCAAAAAUGAAGGAGCUGUUUAUAAACCAAACCUUGUCUGGUUCACGAAAUUAAUGUACUGUAAUUCAUAAAACAGCGAAAUUCACUCUUAUACAUUAGUACUCACAAUUGUUCUUUUAAUGAAUACAAGUUAACUGUCCAUGGGAAUUAAAAAAUAUGAUCCCCCUUUUUAUACAAUACUCUUUGGCAAACGACGUAAGAUAUUGUUACAUUCCAUUCUAUCAUUCCAGACCGAAACAUUACCGAGUGUCUAUAUGUCAUUCUUGUACUCAUAGUCCCAUACCCCUGAGCAACAAUGAUCAUUCAUCGGCCCUUGCAUUAUAGUACCGCGUAUAUGGAGGGUUCGAAUCUUAAUAAAGCUAGACUCGUUUCAGCAUUCUAAUUUCUGUAAUUGACCAAUAUCCACUAAAUAUUAAAUACAUGAAUGAUGUAGCAAACUGAUAUAUACAGAUUAAUAAUCAAGAGAUGAUCAAGUUAAUAACUACUGUAAACACAACAAAGUCAACAAUUCUAAAUGAUGCACACCGAUCAAUUAAAGAAGUCCUAAUGCACCCGCCCCCUAUGGGGUUCGAACCCUCAACCUCUUGUCGCUGGAGGGCUUGUUAGUCCAUGUAUAAAUCCUAAUCGAACUCUACCAUCAUCAAACUAAAUACACUACUAGCAAAUAAAAAAUAUAUAUUAUGAACUAUAAACUUCAGCUGAUAUUUGUGAUCACAACAUAAAGAUACUACAAUACAAACACACACANUUUAUAGAGUAUGGUAUGGUGACAUCCAUCAUCUCUAGCCUGUGCUGCUUUCUCUGUUGUAGAGACGGUUCCAAUAACAGUAGCACCUAGCGCAUUUGCCCACUGGCACAGAAGAGAUCCUACACCACCUGCUGCAGCAUGAACAAGAAUUGUGUGUCCAGGUUCAACCUAUAAUACAAGCUAAUAUGAGUCUCAUGCCAAGAAACACCAUAAUACUAUCAAAAGGAACACCACACGAAAUAUGCAAGCAAUGAUUUAACUUCUUAUGUCAGACCAGUGAUAUUUGAGGUGAAAGGCACAUCACGGCCUAAGAACCUCCUGAACCCAGGCAGAGAGUACUAACGUGAGGUGCAAGAUUGACAAGUUUUUAAAUGCACAGAACUAUAAUCCUGAACUCAAUAAAUGUCAAAUCAGACAUAUAAAACUGUUACCUAUGAACCAAAUGCAACUUAACUAAAUAACACAGAUACAUACAUAUUUGUAAAGUUAAGGUAUUAAACUAGGUUGCUGACCAAUAUAAGGGUCAGGUUAUACAUGCAAAUAUGGAGGAUCUUAACAUUCAGUCUCGUUACAUGGCAAAUGGCUAUAUGACCCAUGAUCUUGUAGUUUUCAUAUAUCCCUUGCUCUUUUCUAUUUAAACAAAAGUAUCUUACUACAAGUUUCUAUUGAAAUGUAGAGUCAAUAGGGUGUAUCAAAUUUUGGAAUUCACGUGCACGAACAGUUUUAUCAACUAAAGUAUAAACGAAUGGAGUGUUGGAUUGUGACAGAGAUCACAAAUGAAACCUCAUGCAAUUUGUCAAAUCCUCACAUGGUACUAAACUGUCAACUAUAGCUGCUUAAAUAGAUCGCUCCAUUCAAAAGGUAGCAAGAACUGGGCCAUGAAAGAACCUGAAUGGGCAAAGAAAAGUUUACAGAUACGAUAACAAAAGUAUAUAAGGCAAAUUAUUUUAUCAUGAACUUCCUUAAUAUAUAGCUUAUUACUAAUCAUGCAUUGAGGGGCGACAAUUUAAGUUGUGUACCUAAAUCAUAAAAUGACAGAGGCAAAAAAAAAAAUCCAACUAAAUUAGUUUUGGACUUUGAGAACUCAUAUUCUUUUCUAAUAUUGGAUGUACAUUUGGCACAUUGUGAAAGGAAUUGUCAUACAAGUCGUAGGAUGCAAAAAGUGAGAAGAAAACUGGAGUAAAAUAUUCAAAAUUCAUGUACCUUAAAACAGCGACGCACGAGAAAUUGAGCAGUCAUCCCCUUCAGCAUGACAGAGGCUGCAACAGCUGGAUCAAUAGAAGAAGGAACUGGAACCACUCUGUCCGCUGGAAGAAUCUGUUCUUCAGCGUAUGAUCCCAUUGGAUUUCCAGCAUAUGCAACAAGGUCACCUACUUUCCUGCCAGUUAGCCCAGGACCCACAGCUACCACAACACCAGCUGCCUCCAUACCUGCAAUCAAAAGCAAUAUUAAUUUAGUUUUAACCAAUUGUUAGCAUCGACAACUUUGUGUAUAACUGUAUAUAGACUCUUAUAUGCUCAAUAAUGAAUGAAAAAACAUAUCAGAACGCAUUUCUUUUCAUUAUUGUUAAAUGUGUGAGCAUCCUAAAGCAAAAAGUGCCAAAAUAAUAUAAGAAUUUCGCUGAAUGAUCCAUGAACUUUAAAGAGGAUGUACUUCAUAUGUUAAAAAUCAGUCAUGCAAAUUCACAAUAUAUGUAUAUCGUUAACUAAACAAAAGAGAUGAUCAGUGAUAGGGACAAAGAAAUAACAUAGAAAUUUUAUAGGAAAUAGAAGUGCAUAUAUACAGUAUACAAUUGCUGCAUAUAUACCGAGGUGUGUUACAAUGAAAGAGGUCGAGCCACUUUAUAUAUACAUUGAAUCAGCUUGCUCUCCAAGCCUGUAACAGUACUGUGAUGUCAUCAUAAUGAUGUCAGCACAUCAUGUCAUGCUACACCAAUAAUCAUCUUAAAAAUUACUUUAUUUAUUAUCUUUUCCAAUGCAAUUUUAUAGAAACGACGGUAGGUACGAGAAGAAAAUCUCUCCAAUAACAGUUUAUACCUAUAGAACUUACGACUGGAGUUCAAUGACAACAUGGUCCCUGUAGGCAUGUGCUAUAUGUGUCGCUUUGCGUGUCUAAUAUAUUGGUGACUGAACUUCAAAGUUUUCAGUCUAGAAAAAGUAAAUUACUUUAGGAUCUUUGGCUAAUCCUCAAGUAAAGAACUGAUAUAGUAGAAUUAACACCUUUACAAUUGGAACAAUAGCAGGGACGCAUCUUCCACAAUGAAAUAGACAAAUUAUUUGACCUGGCCUUUAAGGACUAAUUCAUAUUUUAGGAUUAAAAAUUGGCGAUAACCUAUUUCCCCUCCUUCACAACUAACAUUACUAACUUUUCCAAGUCCAUCAUCCUUAUCUUUAAGAAGAGUAGAGAACAAAAAUAGAUUCUGGAUAGGUUUCUAUGGAUAGUAGAUCUUCUUUUGGCAGAACUAGUUCAAGUAACAUUCAUAUAACAGAUGCAUAAUUGAAUAUAAAAGACAAUAAAAGCAUUUCGCAAAGUAUAAAUCUCUACUAGUAAUCAAACAUAGAACACUUUCUGCUGUCACUACCAUAAGGACUGUCCUGGAUAAGUUGAAACUGUACUCAAAUGAAUCAUAAAUUGACAAACAACAAUGCCAAAAGAAACACACACGCGAAUCUAGAACAUCAAAUAAAGAAUACUGAUACCUUUCUCCAAAACAGAACACAAAAGAAUCCAUUUAUUGUUUUAAGGAUCAAUUAUACAUGUUAUAGCAAGUACACGCUCAUAACAGCAAACCUGGUGUGAAGGGCAUUGUAGCUGCUUUGUAAACCCCUUUCCGAUAGUAUAUAUCAAUAAAAUUUAACCCAAUGGCCUUAUUUUUUACCCUGACCUCCCCAUCUUUGGGUUCUCCAAUUGGCACAUCCUCCCAUUUCAGGACCUGUUAUCAGUUCUACACAAUUUAAGUCAUUAUUCAACAAAAUUUACGACUCUAAUUAAAAUUCUGUGGGAGCACAAUCACAUAACAAGCCUAAAACUAGUUUUGCCUUAGUUGUAACACAGAAGAUGACAAAUGAUAAUGGACAGGUGUCCAAAGGGUAAGAUACUUGAGUUUCUGCUUGGAUGGGUAGGGAAUUUUGAAAAGAAGUAAUGUACCAUUACUUCGUCUCAAAAAUGAAGGAGCUGUUUAUAAACCAAACCUUGUCUGGUUCACGAAAUUAAU